GCCCCCGUGGCUCAGAUGGAUAGAGCGUCUGGUUGCGGACUAGAAGGUCGCAGGUUCGAGUCCUGCCGGGGGUACCA
rnacentral:tRNA from 1 species